GGCUGGUCCAAAGGUAGUGAGUUAUCUCACUUGAUUGUUCACAGAGAUUGAACUCAUUGCUCUACUUUUCCCCCUUCUCACUACUGCACUUGACUAGUCUUAA
rnacentral:Y_RNA from 1 species